GCCGGGCGCAGUGGUGUACGCCUGUAAUCUCAGCAGUUCGGGAGGCUGAGGCAGGAGGAUCACAAGUUCAAAGCCAGCCUCAGCAAAGGCGAAGUGAUAAGUAACUCAGUGAGACCCUGUCUCUA
rnacentral:sRNA from 1 species